rnacentral:rRNA from 1 species
CCUACGGGGGGCAGCAGUGGGGAAUAUUGGACAAUGGGGGGAACCCUGAUCCAGCCAUGCCGCGUGUGUGAAGAAGGCCCUCGGGUUGUAAAGCACUUUCAGUGAGGAAGAACGCCUGUUGGUUAAUACCCAUCAGGAAAGACAUCACUCACAGAAGAAGCACCGGCUAACUCCGUGCCAGCAGCCGCGGUAAUACGGAGGGUGCGAGCGUUAAUCGGAAUUACUGGGCGUAAAGCGCGCGUAGGUGGCUUGAUAAGCCGGUUGUGAAAGCCCCGGGCUCAACCUGGGAACGGCAUCCGGAACUGUCCAGCUUGAGUGCAGGAGAGGAAGGUAGAAUUCCCGGUGUAGCGGUGAAAUGCGUAGAGAUCGGGCGGGAUACCAGUGGCGAAGGCGGUCUUCUGCACUGUCACUGACACUGAGGUGCGAAAGCGUGGGUAGCAAACAGGAUUAGAUACCCGAGUAGUA